UACGAGGGGUGCAAGCGUUGCUCGGAAUUAUUGGGCGUAAAGGGCAAGUAGGUGGUCUGAUUUGUCUGGGGUGAAAGCCUUGAGCUUAACUCAAGAAGUGCCCCGGAAACGGUCAGACUCGAGUCCUGGAGAGGGUCGUGGAAUUCCCGGUGUAGCGGUGAAAUGCGCAGAUAUCAGGAGGAACACCGGUGGCGAAGGCGGAUCUCUGGGCCAUUACUGACGCUGAGGAGCGAAAGCGUGGGGAGCGAACAGG
rnacentral:rRNA from 1 species